AUUUAUUUAGUUAAGUAGUAUAAUACCGAACUUAUAAUUAUAAAUAAGGAGUCGUAGGUUCGAAUCCCGCUUUAGGUA
rnacentral:tRNA from 1 species